UACGUAGGGUGCGAGCGUUAAUCGGAAUUACUGGGCGUAAAGCGUGCGCAGGCGGUUUUGUAAGCCAGAUGUGAAAUCCCCGGGCUUAACCUGGGAAUGGCAUUUGGGACUGCAAAGCUUGAGUGCGGCAGAGGGGACUGGAAUUCCUGGUGUAGCAGUGAAAUGCGUAGAGAUCAGGAGGAAUACCGAUGGCGAAGGCAGGUCUCUGGGCAUUAACUGACGCUGAGGAGCGAAAGCAUGGGGAGCGAACAGG
rnacentral:rRNA from 1 species